GACGAACGCUGGCGGCGUGCCUAAUACAUGCAAGUCGAACGCUGAAGAGAGGAGCUUACUCUUCUUGGAUGAGUUGCGAACGGGUGAGUAACGCGUAGGUAACCUGCCUUGUAGCGGGGGAUAACUAUUGGAAACGAUAGCUAAUACCGCAUAACAAUGGAUGACACAUGUCAUUUAUUUGAAAGGGGCAAUUGCUCCACUACAAGAUGGACCUGCGUUGUAUUAGCUAGUAGGUGAGGUAAUGGCUCACCUAGGCGACGAUACAUAGCCGACCUGAGAGGGUGAUCGGCCACACUGGGACUGAGACACGGCCCAGACUCCUACGGGAGGCAGCAGUAGGGAAUCUUCGGCAAUGGGGGCAACCCUGACCGAGAAACGCCGCGUGAGUGAAGAAGGGUGUCGGAUCGUAAAGCUCUGUUGUAAGUCAAGAACGGGUGUGAGAGUGGAAAGUUCACACUGUGACGGUAGCUUACCAGAAAGGGACGGCUAACUACGUG
rnacentral:rRNA from 1 species